CCGCCCUCAGCAGCGCGGUGCUGAGAAGAGGGGCCUGCGGUGCGGGAGGACCCGGCCCCUGGAGCCUCACGGAGCGCAGCAGCAGCAGCAGCAGCAGGCUGACCACUCGGAGCCGUCGUCCGAGUGACCGCUCGCGCUUGCCCUGCGCGCCCCACGCCCGGACUCAGAGGCCCCGAGGCCCAGCGCAGGGCCGGCUGCUGCCUCCGGGAAGAGGACUGACUGCCAGGCGGGAGGAAAAGCAGACUCAUUUGCUUCAAUCCCAAGGAGAGAAUGAAGGCCAGAAAAGAGAGCUAAAAAAGAAGUAUAACUGGAAACAACCAAAAAGAAGAAAAACAAGACAAACCUUCCCUGUGAGUUCAGAGGCUGCUCUAACGCCCUAUGCUGUCUGUCCCCAGGUCCUGAGGCUCUGGAAGCUCAGUUUUAUAGAUGCAGAAACUGAGGCCCAAGGACUCAGCUGACAAGUGGGAGAACCAGCUGCAAACCUGGGCUGCCUGAGUGCAUCAGUCAGCUCUCCGCCAGCUCGCAGCACAGGUGAACACAAUGCACCCGCAGUGAGCCGGGCAGGUAUAAACAUGACGCACCUGCGUUGAGCAGCAUUUUGACGCAGUCCAGAUGCUCCCGGGCACAGGCCACGUGCAGAGGGGUCCCAAAGUGGCAGUCGUGCGCUUCCAGGUUGGCCCCAACAUCAAUAAGAAGCCUCACACACUCAGAACUUCCUUAAAAGAAAUGGAGACGGAGGAAAGGCAUCGUAUCACAUAUAUUUGAAAUAACAGGCUUGGCAGACACGCAGCUGCUGGAGCAGGACAUCUGACCCAACUCCAGUGAACGACACAUGAGGGAGAGGCUGCUGAGAGCGUUCACAGUUUCGACACACCCCUCGCCCCCGAUGUUGCCUAGACGUGAGCUGGGAAGUGCCGUGGCCGUUGGGCCACCUGCCUAAAGU